rnacentral:rRNA from 1 species
CUUUUACAAUGAAGAGUUUGAUCCUGGCUCAGGAUGAACGCUAGCUACAGGCUUAACACAUGCAAGUCGAGGGGCAGCAUUUUAGUUUGCUUGCAAACUAAAGAUGGCGACCGGCGCACGGGUGAGUAACACGUAUCCAACCUGCCGAUAACUCGGGGAUAGCCUUUCGAAAGAAAGAUUAAUAUCCGAUAGUAUAUUAAAACCGCAUGGUUUUACUAUUAAAGAAUUUCGGUUAUCGAUGGGGAUGCGUUCCAUUAGUUUGUUGGCGGGGUAACGGCCCACCAAGACUACGAUGGAUAGGGGUUCUGAGAGGAAGGUCCCCCACAUUGGAACUGAGACACGGUCCAAACUCCUACGGGAGGCAGCAGUGAGGAAUAUUGGUCAAUGGACGAGAGUCUGAACCAGCCAAGUAGCGUGAAGGAUGACUGCCCUAUGGGUUGUAAACUUCUUUUAUAUGGGAAUAAAGUAUUCCACGUGUGGGAUUUUGUAUGUACCAUAUGAAUAAGGAUCGGCUAACUCCGUGCCAGCAGCCGCGGUAAUACGGAGGAUCCGAGCGUUAUCCGGAUUUAUUGGGUUUAAAGGGAGCGUAGGUGGAUUGUUAAGUCAGUUGUGAAAGUUUGCGGCUCAACCGUAAAAUUGCAGUUGAAACUGGCAGUCUUGAGUACAGUAGAGGUGGGCGGAAUUCGUGGUGUAGCGGUGAAAUGCUUAGAUAUCACGAAGAACUCCGAUUGCGAAGGCAGCUCACUAGACUGCAACUGACACUGAUGCUCGAAAGUGUGGGUAUCAAACAGGAUUAGAUACCCUGGUAGUCCACACAGUAAACGAUGAAUACUCGCUGUUUGCGAUAUACAGUAAGCGGCCAAGCGAAAGCAUUAAGUAUUCCACCUGGGGAGUACGCCGGCAACGGUGAAACUCAAAGGAAUUGACGGGGGCCCGCACAAGCGGAGGAACAUGUGGUUUAAUUCGAUGAUACGCGAGGAACCUUACCCGGGCUUAAAUUGCAUUUGAAUAAUCUGGAAACAGGUUAGCCGCAAGGCAAAUGUGAAGGUGCUGCAUGGUUGUCGUCAGCUCGUGCCGUGAGGUGUCGGCUUAAGUGCCAUAACGAGCGCAACCCUUAUCUUUAGUUACUAACAGGUUAUGCUGAGGACUCUAGAGAGACUGCCGUCGUAAGAUGUGAGGAAGGUGGGGAUGACGUCAAAUCAGCACGGCCCUUACGUCCGGGGCUACACACGUGUUACAAUGGGGGGUACAGAAGGCAGCUACCUGGUGACAGGAUGCUAAUCCCAAAAACCUCUCUCAGUUCGGAUCGAAGUCUGCAACCCGACUUCGUGAAGCUGGAUUCGCUAGUAAUCGCGCAUCAGCCAUGGCGCGGUGAAUACGUUCCCGGGCCUUGUACACACCGCCCGUCAAGCCAUGAAAGCCGGGGGUACCUGAAGUACGUAACCGCAAGGAGCGUCCUAGGGUAAAACUGGUAAUUGGGGCUAAGUCGUAACAAGGUAGCCGUACCGGAAGGUGCGGCUGGAACACCUCCUUUCU